GAUGAAGAACGUAGCGAAAUGCGAUAAGUAAUGUGAAUUGCAGAACUCAGUGAAUCAUCGAAUCUUUGAACGCACAUUGCGCCCCCUGGUAUUCCGGGGGGCAUGCCUGUUCGAGCGUCAUUUCACCACUCAAGCCUCGCUUGGUAUUGGGCAACGCGGUCCGCCGCGUGCCUCAAAUCGACCGGCUGGGUCUUCUGUCCCCUAAGCGUUGUGGAAACUAUUCGCUAAAGGGUGCUCGGGAGGCUACGCCGUAAAACAAACCCAUUUCUAAGGUUGACCUCGGAUCAGGUAGGGAUACCCGCUGAACUUAAGCAUAUCAAUAAGCGGAGGA
rnacentral:misc_RNA from 1 species